rnacentral:rRNA from 1 species
CCCUUAGAUGUUCUGGGCCGCACGCGUGCUACACUGAGUGGAUCAGCGGGUCAGGUUGCGCGAAAGUGUUUCCUAAUCUUUAAAUCCGCUCGUGAUGGGGAUUGACGGUUGCAAUUUUCCGUCAUGAACGAGUAAUACCUUGUAAGCGCGGGUCAUCAUCCCGCGCUGAAUACGUCCCUGCCCUUUGUACACACCGCCCGUCGCUCCUACCGAUUGAGUGGUCCGGUGAGGCUUUGGGAUCUGAGCGGAAAGAGCGUUUCGCUGUUUCUGCCCGGAAAACUCAGUCGAACCUUAUCAUUUAGAGGAAGGAGAAGUCGUAACA